rnacentral:rRNA from 1 species
GGAAUAUUGGACAAUGGGCGAAAGCCUGAUCCAGCAACGCCGCGUGGAGGACGAAGGCCUUCGGGUCGCAAACUCCUGUCAGGUGGGACGAAAGGCGGGGGGUCAACAGCCUCUUGCCGUGACGGUACCAUCAGAGGCAGCCCCGGCUACCUCCGUCCCAGCAGCCGCGGUAAUACGGAGGGGGCGAGCGUUAUUCGGAAUUAUUGGGCGUAAAGGGCGCGUAGGCGGCUUGGUAAGUCAAAGGUGAAAUCCCUCGGCCUAACCGAGGAACUGCCUUUGAUACUGCCUCGCUCGAGGCCGGGAGGGGGUAGCGGAAUUCCCAGUGUAGCGGUGAAAUGCGUAGAUAUUGGGAGGAACACCGGUGGCGAAGGCGGCUACCUGGACCGGUUCUGACGCUGAGGCGCGAAAGCGUGGGGAGCAAAC